GAUAACGCAGGAGGCGUGCAUAACACAUGCAAAGUCGACGAUGAACUUUUUUGAUUUUUUCGGAAUGAAAAAAAGUGGAUUAGUGGCGGACGGGUGAGUAACGCGUGAGUAACCUGCCUUAGAGAAGGGGAUAGCCUUUGGAAACGAAGAAUAAUACCCUAUGAAACCAUAACCUCGCAUGAGGCCUUGGUCAAAGAUUUAUCGCUCUAAGAUGGACUUGCGUCUGAUUAGUUAGAUGGUGGGGUAACGGCCCACCAAGACAGCGAUCAGUAGCCGGCUUGAGAGAGUGUACGGCCACAUUGGGACUGAGACACGGCCCAGACUCCUACGGGAGGCAGCAGUGGGGAAUUUUGCACAAUGGGGAAACCCUGAUGCAGCGACGCCGCGUGAUUUAGAAGGCCUUCGGGUUGUAAAAAUCUUUUCUAUGGGAAGAAAAUGACAGUACCAUAGGAAUAAGGACCGGCUAAUUACGUGCCAGCAGCCGCGGUAAUACGUAAGGUCCGAGCGUUGUCCGGAAUCAUUGGGCGUAAAGGGUACGUAGGCGGGUAAGCAAGUUAGAAGUGAAAUCCUAUAGCUCAACUAUAGUAAGCUUUUAAAACUGCUCAUCUUGAGGUAUGGAAGGGAAAGUGGAAUUCCUAGUGUAGCGGUGAAAUGCGCAGAUAUUAGGAGGAAUACCGGUGGCGAAGGCGACUUUCUGGCCAUAACCUGACGCUGAGGUACGAAAGCGUGGGUAGCAAACAGG
rnacentral:rRNA from 1 species